rnacentral:rRNA from 1 species
AGUUUGAUCAUGGCUCAGAUUGAACGCUGGCGGCAGGCUUAACACAUGCAAGUCGAGCGGGGAAAGGUAGCUUGCUACCUUACCUAGCGGCGGACGGGUGAGUAAUGCUUAGGAAUCUGCCUAUUAGUGGGGGACAACAUUUCGAAAGGAAUGCUAAUACCGCAUACGCCCUACGGGGGAAAGCAGGGGACCUUCGGGCCUUGCGCUAAUAGAUGAGCCUAAGUCGGAUUAGCUAGUUGGUGGGGUAAAGGCCUACCAAGGCGACGAUCUGUAGCGGGUCUGAGAGGAUGAUCCGCCACACUGGGACUGAGACACGGCCCAGACUCCUACGGGAGGCAGCAGUGGGGAAUAUUGGACAAUGGGGGGAACCCUGAUCCAGCCAUGCCGCGUGUGUGAAGAAGGCCUUUUGGUUGUAAAGCACUUUAAGCGAGGAGGAGGCUCCCAGUAUUAAUACUACUGGAGAGUGGACGUUACUCGCAGAAUAAGCACCGGCUAACUCUGUGCCAGCAGCCGCGGUAAUACAGAGGGUGCAAGCGUUAAUCGGAUUUACUGGGCGUAAAGCGUGCGUAGGUGGCCAAUUAAGUCAAAUGUGAAAUCCCCGAGCUUAACUUGGGAAUUGCAUUCGAUACUGGUUGGCUAGAGUAUGGGAGAGGAUGGUAGAAUUCCAGGUGUAGCGGUGAAAUGCGUAGAGAUCUGGAGGAAUACCGAUGGCGAAAGCAGCCAUCUGGCCUAAUACUGACACUGAGGUACGAAAGCAUGGGGAGCAAACAGGAUUAGAUACCCUGGUAGUCCAUGCCGUAAACGAUGUCUACUAGCCGUUGGGGUCUUUGAGACUUUAGUGGCGCAGCUAACGCGAUAGUAGACCGCCUGGGAGUA